CAAAACUGUCCUGAAAGCAAGUAAUGCUUUCGGUCGUUGUCACCUUCAUGAGGAACAAGCUGCAACUUCGCUUUCUGACUUCAUUCUCCCGGUGACAUUUUUCACACAGGCUCUGACAGAGACAGCAAUUAUAAAGACAUCCAGCAGAUAUAGAAGAUUCACUGUGAGCCAGGCCCUGGAGCUCAAUCUGAUUAAUUCAGCAGUAAACAAGGCGUGUUGGAUGCUGCCUUCAUGGAACCUCUACUCCACCUGGGAAGCAUCCCUUGGAGUUUUUCAGUGAGACUCAACCAAAAGAAUAAGAGAAAAAAAAAAUAUAUAUAUAUAUAUAUACACACACAGGAAGGUUGAUUGGGAGGUACAGCAACCACCUUUGGCAACUCUUAAAUCAUC